AUGAAGAAUCAUGUGAAGAUUUAGGAGAAUUUUGCAGCAUCAGCAGACUGAGCAUUUCACUUGGCUCAUCUGUGCUCCUACCAUGCACUGCUCGACCAACCAGUUCCAACUGGGUGACAUGGAGCCACUUUCCCAAAGGGGAGAUGGUCCAACUGUCACCUUUAGGACAUGUUAAGUACCAGGACCCCAGAAACGGCAGAGUUAAAACCUUUCCAUUUCAGGGCUUGGAGGGAAACUACUCCAUCAGAAUUGAUGAUCUUGGGUUAACAGACCUCGGAUGUUACUCCUGUAUACAGGGUGAAAACUGUGUUCAAGUGGUGUUGGUUGAAGUAGCAGGUACAAGGAGGGACAUGCAGACGAUUUACAUCUGUGUUAGCGUAGCUGCUCUCCUUCUGCUGUGUGUUGGCGGCUACACCUGCAAGAAAUGCAUAGGUAGCAGCUUGCAUUGUUAGAGAUGCUGGUGAAGAUGCACGCUGCCAGGUGGAGUUUCGUUUUUGCCCUGUGUUUCAUCUGUGUGUCUCCAAAUGAUGAAAAAUCUUGUGGGGAUUCAGAAGACUUCUGUGAGAAGCUCAGUCUGACCGUUUCAAUUGGCACGUCUGCGUUACUACCAUGCACCGCUCGACCAACCAGCUCCAAGUGGGUGACAUGGAGCCACGCUGCCACAAAGCAGGCAGAGAUGGUCCGGCUUUCAUCUGAAGGGCAUGUUAAGUUCCUGGACCCCAGAAAUGGCCGAGUCAAAGUCUUUUCAAACCAGCAAAGAGACGGGAACUACUCCAUCAAAAUCGAUGAGCUUGAAAUAUCUGACCUAGGAUGUUACCGCUGUGGGUGGCGGUGUGUUCAAGUGCAAGUGAUGGAAAGUCCUCACUGUAACAAUAAAACAAAGGACAGUGGAAACAGUCCCACAACUGCAGGUAGUGAGGGAGCAGAAAAAUGAAGAGCUACUCAAAACUUCCUCCUCCUCACUUUCAUCUUUAUAAGAAGAAAAAAAAAGAAGAAUCAAAGAAGAAGCAGAAGACAAAAGACAAGCACGAAGAAUUAUUUAGCUAAUUGUGCAGAUAAAAAAGAAAAUUUGAUUGUUAACUCUGUUGUAGCAUUAAG
ensembl:lncRNA